rnacentral:rRNA from 1 species
CACGUAGGAGGCGAGCGUUGUCCGGAAUCAUUGGGCGUAAAGAGCGCGCAGGCGGCUUGGCAAGUCGGGUGUGAAAUCUCGGAGCUUAACUCCGAAACUGCAUUCGAUACUGCCGUGCUUGAGGACUGGAGAGGAGACUGGAAUUUACGGUGUAGCGGUGAAAUGCGUAGAUAUCGUAAGGAAGACCAGUGGCGAAGGCGGGUCUCUGGACAGUUCCUGACGCUGAGGCACGAAGGUCAGGGGAGCAAACGGG